GGUGAACGCUGGCGGUAGGCCUAACACAUGCAAGUCGAACGGCAGCACAGUAAGAGCUUGCUCUUACGGGUGGCGAGUGGCGGACGGGUGAGGAAUACAUCGGAAUCUACUUUUUCGUGGGGGAUAACGUAGGGAAACUUACGCUAAUACCGCAUACGACCUACGGGUGAAAGCAGGGGAUCUUCGGACCUUGCGCGAUUGGAUGAGCCGAUGUCGGAUUAGCUAGUUGGCGGGGUAAAGGCCCACCAAGGCGACGAUCCGUAGCUGGUCUGAGAGGAUGAUCAGCCACACUGGAACUGAGACACGGUCCAGACUCCUACGGGAGGCAGCAGUGGGGAAUAUUGGACAAUGGGCGCAAGCCUGAUCCAGCCAUACCGCGUGGGUGAAGAAGGCCUUCGGGUUGUAAAGCCCUUUUGUUGGGAAAGAAAAGCAGCAGGUUAAUACCCCGCUGUUCUGACGGUACCCAAAGAAUAAGCACCGGCUAACUUCGUG
rnacentral:rRNA from 1 species